AAAACUCACCAGGUCCAGACAUAGAUAGGAUUGACAGACUGAUAGCUCUUUCUUAAUUCUAUGGGUGAUGGUGCAUGGCCGUUCUUAGUUGGUGGAGUGAUUUGUCUGGUUAAUUCCGUUAACGAACGAGACCUUAACCUGCUAAAUAGUUUCCUGAACCUCGGUUCAUCGGUUUACUUCUUAGAGGGACUUCGUGUGUUUAACGCGAGGAAGUUUGAGGCAAUAA
rnacentral:rRNA from 1 species